UACGUAGGGUGCGAGCGUUGUCCGGAAUUACUGGGCGUAAAGAGCUCGUAGGUGGUUUGUCGCGUUGUUCGUGAAAACUCACAGCUCAACUGUGGACGUGCGGGCGAUACGGGCAGACUGGAGUACUGCAGGGGAGACUGGAAUUCCUGGUGUAGCGGUGGAAUGCGCAGAUAUCAGGAGGAACACCAGUGGCGAAGGCGGUGCUCUGGGCCGGAACUGACGCUGAGGAGCGAAAGCGUGGGGAGCAAACGGG
rnacentral:rRNA from 1 species